GCUGGGUGUGGUGGCGCAUGCCUGUAAUCCCAGUGACUUGGGGGGCUGAGGUAGGAGGAUCUCAAGUUCAAAGCCAGCCUUAGCAACAGGGAGGCACUAUGCAACUAAGUGAGACCCUGUCUCUA
rnacentral:sRNA from 1 species